rnacentral:rRNA from 1 species
UUCAACAACGGAUCUCUUGGCUCUGGCAUCGAUGAAGAACGCAGCGAAAUGCGAUAAGUAAUGUGAAUUGCAGAAUUCAGUGAAUCAUCGAAUCUUUGAACGCACAUUGCGCCCGCCAGUAUUCUGGCGGGCAUGCCUGUUCGAGCGUCAUUUCAACCCU